rnacentral:tRNA from 1 species
ACUAGGCUGGCUCAGUCAGUAGAGCAUGAGACUCUUGAUCUUGGGGUUGUGAGUUCAAGCCUCACAUUGGGUG